rnacentral:rRNA from 1 species
GACGAACGCUGGCGGCGUGCCUAAUACAUGCAAGUCGAGCGAAUCAAUAGGAGCUUGCUCCUGUUGGUUAGCGGCGGACGGGUGAGUAACACGUGGGCAACCUGCCUGUAAGACUGGGAUAACACCGGGAAACCGGUGCUAAUACCGGAUAAUCCUUUUCCUCUCAUGAGGAAAAGCUGAAAGUCGGUUUCGGCUGACACUUACAGAUGGGCCCGCGGCGCAUUAGCUAGUUGGUGAGGUAACGGCUCACCAAGGCGACGCUGCGUAGCCGACCUGAGAGGGUGAUCGGCCACACUGGGACUGAGACACGGCCCAGACUCCUACGGGAGGCAGCAGUAGGGAAUCUUCCACAAUGGACGAAAGUCUGAUGGAGCAACGCCGCGUGAGCGAUGAAGGCCUUCGGGUCGUAAAGCUCUGUUGUUAGGGAAGAACAAGUACCGGAGUAACUGCCGGUACCUUGACGGUACCUACCAGAAAGCCACGGCUAACUACGUGCCAGCCGCCGCCGUAACAC